UAAGACGAACCGUGCAAACGUUGUUCGGAAUCACUGGGCUUAAAGGGCGCGUAGGCGGCUCAUCAAGUCGGGGGUGAAAUACUUCAGCUUAACUGGAGAAGUGCCUUCGAUACUGGUGGGCUUGAGGGAGGUAGGGGUCUUUGGAACUUCUGGUGGAGCGGUGAAAUGCGUUGAUAUCAGAAGGAACGCCGGUGGCGAAAGCGAAGGACUGGACCUCUUCUGACGCUGAGGCGCGAAAGCUAGGGGAGCAAACGGGAUUAGAUACCCCGGUAGUCCUAGCCCUAAACGAUGGGUACUAGAUUGUAGACUUGACAUGGGUUUACAGUCGAAGCAAAAGUGUUAAGUACCCCGCCUGGGGAGUAUGGUCGCAAGGCUG
rnacentral:rRNA from 1 species